GUUGCAGUCCUGCGCCGCUGAGGUAGCUGUGCCGCAGGGACGCCUGGGAGUUGCAGUCCAGCGCCGCUGGAGGUGCUGUGCCGCGUUGCCGCCUGGGAGUUGCAGUCUAGCGCCGCUCAGGGGGCUGUGCUGCGGGGUGGCCUGGGAGUUGCUGUCCAGCGCGAGAAGGCACGGAAAACAGACGUUUUCGAGUGGGCCUCGGCUGGAAGCUAAUUGCCGCUGUGUUGAGCGUCGCUGUAGAAGCUGCCUGGUGGACUCCAGGAAAGAGAAGUAAGCACUACAAUUCAUUUCCGAGUCCUAAGCAGCACUUCCUCAGCAAAAGUAUCGCCCACGCCCGGGCUCGGCUCGUUGUCCACGCCCUCCAGCCCAUUGGGGCACGCGCUUCUGCGGGCAGAAGCCCAAAGUGUCAAACCGGUGAGCUGCUACAGACACUGAGGGGUUACUGGCCAAGGAGGAAGGUAACUCAGAGUACAGCAUGAAGGAGGAAUUCUCCGUCUCCAUGAGAUCUUGAUUUGGAAGCAUCUUGGAAGAUCCAGGACCUGGAACACAUGGAGGUAGUGUCUUGGUGUGUAGAAAACAAAGCUUCCCAAGUAAGAUGAGAAUAUCCUCAGGUGGGGGCACAUGGC
rnacentral:lncRNA from 1 species